GUGUUUGCUUCAGCAGCACAUAUACUAAAAUUGGAAUGAUACAGAGAAGAUUAGCACGGCCCCUGAGCAAGGAAGACACGCUACCUUGUGAAGCAUUCCAUAUUUUU